GCGUGAAGUCGGAAUCGCUAGUAAUCGUGAAUCAGAAUGUCACGGUGAAUACGUUCCCGGGCCUUGUACACACCGCCCGUCACACCAUGGGAGUGGGUUGCUCCAGAAGUAGCUAGUCUAACCUUCGGGGGGACGGUUACCACGGAGUGAUUCAUGACUGGGGUGAAGUCGUAACAAGGUAGCCGUAGGGGAACCUGCGGCUGGAUCACCUCCUUAAUCGA
rnacentral:rRNA from 1 species